rnacentral:rRNA from 1 species
UCCGAACAUAAAUGAGUAAGACAGAUUGAUAGCUCUUUCUCGAAUCUAUGGGUGGUGGUGCAUGGCCGUUCUUAGUUCGUGGAGUGAUUUGUCUGGUUAAUUCCGAUAACGAACGAGACUCAAAUAUAUUAAAUAGAUGCAUUCAGGAUUAUGAUGUUGAAACCUUAUAUAACCUUCUAACAUGAUUACGGUAAAAUGUAUAAGUGUUUGAAUGUGUUUAUAUAAGGUGGAGUCGUACCUGUUUGUUUGUCCCAUUAAUACGGACACUAGCUUCUUAAAUGGACAAAUUGCGUCUAGCAAUAAUGAGAUUGAGCAANAACAGGUCUGUGAUGCCCUUAGAUGUCCUGGGCUGCACGCGCGCUACAAUGAAAGUAUCAACGUGUAUUUCCUAGACCGAGAGGUCCGGGUAAACCGCUGAAUCACUUUCAUGCUUGGGAUUGUGAACUGAAACUGUUCACAUGAACCUGGAAUUCCCAGUAAGUGCGAGUCA